ACGCAGGCCAACUACAUGUAAAUGCAGCCCAACUUUAACUCUCUGCUUAUAAACAGACCAAAUUUAAAACAGGGUCAAUAAAAGUUGAGACGGAUGCAGGAUAUCAGUGACAGCAGAGAACAUUUGGACAGUAAAGCAUAAACCAUUGGUGUUUCAAUGGAAUUGAUGGGCAAGUGUCAUUGAAUAGUAAUUAUUUGUCAGCAAUUAGUGGCAUAAACUUCUCAACCAUUUGUCAGUUAGGUGAUGAUGGAUUAUUGGCUGUAUAAUGGCGGACAACCAACCAUUAAACGACCAACACUGGUCAAUGGAAGUGCUAUUUUUUAACAACACUUGAAACAACAAUUAUCCAGAAUUAAGUGAUUUCCAAAUCUGUCAUGCUUGAGAAUAAAGUUGUUUUUUUGAUUCUCUCCUUUUCUUGAAGAUUUUCCUCAAUCGAUUUUAAUUUACAGGAGAAUUGAAGACACCUACAUGUAGUAAAACCACUAGUUUUAAAAUCUCCUAUAUUUCCAGUGCUUCAUAUAUUAAUUUUGCUUACUUUGUUUUAGUAUUUGAUAUCUUGCUACAAACCCAUCACGAGGAUCUUUGCUGUAAUAUGCCGUAGCUACAAAGUGAACUGUUAGCCCAGAGAUUUUAUCAGCAUCCAAGCAUUGAUCAGAAGUACACAAUUUGCUGAGCAGAGGACCUAUAAAAAAUAUUAUUGAAUAUUAUUAAAUGACUUUCAAAAAAAAAAUCAAAAAAUAUUUUUAUCUUUAAGUAAUCUAGAGAUCCUUUUUUUAAUUUUAAAGCAAGGAAAGAUCCAGGGGUGGUAAAAGGGGUGACUAGUCACCCCCUUUUGCUCAAAUUUCUCAGUAUAUCGUUAGUAACAGUCACCCCCCUUUUCCUCAAAUUCCUGGAAAAACCUUCAUUAUAGUACUAGUCAUCCUGGCCCCUUCUAAAAUUCCUGGAUCCACCCCUAUAGAGUAAUCUAGCAGGCCCUUUUAUUGAUAAUCUGCUUCCCUUUUAUUGAUAAAAAAUAAAGGUUAUUUAUACCUGA